CUUGCUAAGUCGCGUUUUUAUUAUUACCAUUAUCAUUUAAAAAAAGUUUUAAAUCAGUUGACAGCUAUUUCGUCAUAAACCCGGAAACGAGAUUAAUGGUUGCUGUGGAAACUAGGGGGUGCGUAAUAUUUACAUGCAUUCCGAGGAAGCCGCUCCCCUCCUGCACGCACACACGCACAGCCUUCACUCCCCAACAGGUGAAAUAAAAACUGAUUAUAUGAAGAACCUGGGGAUUAUGGGUAUGACCUGACAAAUUUCCUGUAAAAAUGUUAUUAGAUUUUAUUUCAUUUCAAUUAUGCAAAGGAAAAACAAUGUAUAUAGCCUAGGCCUGUGUGUUUCAUAUCAGUUUCAUUUUUGUCCAGUGCCAGUUUAAAUGUUAAAAAACACUAUUUUUCUCACACUCAUGCUGUUUUGUUGUCUGUGUGUUUGGUUUAUGGCCAUUAUGAUUGUCUUAAAAUGUCUUAAGCAGUGUUAUUCUUCAGUUUUUGUUUUCAUUUCUGUUACACAGAAAAAACACCAGCUUGGUUGACAUGAGGGUGAGUAAAUAAUGCCAUCAUUUUCAUUUUUGAGUGAGCUAUUUUCUUCAAGCAGGCUCUAUGCUUACAUUUCAUUUUCAAUCAGUCCACAGGCCUACAUCAGAACAUGUUUCAUCACUCGCUUGUACGAUGACUUGUCAGUCUUACCUCAGACGUUGUGUAUGCACAGAAGACAGAACAACCAACUCUGCUAGACCCACAGGAGACUCAAUGGUACAGUUACAAUGGAGCAGAGAGAAUUAAGCACAUAAGAAACAUGAGGUACGUUGUACAAGUAACUGCAGUGAGGGAUUGUGUGUUUUAAGUAGCAUUGAAAAUGACAGAUACUAUACUAUAUACAAGAAAACAGAGCACUGAUCCAGAUAUUCAGUGCUUUUUAAAACAGCACAAUUAAAUAUCAGCAGCCCUGGGAGAAUUAAAGUCACAUCUGGCUUGACGGGCUUUAUUCGUCAACAUUUAACCACAUUUUUGCUUUUGCAAAAAAGAAAGAAGUCAUCCAACUCGUUGUAGUCAGUUAAAUCAUUCUUUUUAUUAGGAUUUCAGGCUAAUUGAUUUCAGACUUCUUGAGUUGGACUUGUAAAAAAGUAACUGAAUACUUUUUGAAACAUAACCAAUACUGCCAGUAUCUUCCCAAGCUUUCUACUUGACAUACUUUACUUCUCUUUAAAAAGGGAUGACAGAUGGAGACUUAAAGACUGACACAAGUAAUUAAUGAAAUAGCUAGUAGGGUAAAGGAUUCCAGUGGAGAAAACUGAUAGCAACUGUAUUUUUUAUCGACUCUUUGCCUCUCUCUGGUGGUACAAGUAUGUAUCACAAUUCAUCAAUUUGAACUGUCCAUAAUGGAUAAAUGCAAAAACACAACUUCAAAUAAGAAAUAAAACAGUUUAUUUAUUAAAUUUAUUUUCUGAA
ensembl:lncRNA